UAAAAUUAACUAUCUCAAUGAUCUAUAUGGUUAAAUGUUUAAUUUUAUUUUUUUAUUCCAGUAGUAAAUAUUAAUUUUAUAUUAGAGUUUUUGAAUUAGGGAUUGAGUAUAUUUAAAUAGUAGAUUAAUAUUUGUGCCAGCAUUCGCGGUUACACAAUUUACUUAAGUUAAUUAAAUAAUUUUUUAAUUUUAUUUUUUUUUGGUUUACCUAUAAAAUUAUUUAGGUGGAAUUUAUAAUUGAUUAUAAAAUCUAAUACUAUAAUUUAUUUUAAGAUAUUUUUAUUAGUAGACUAGGAUUAGAUACCCUAUUAUUAAUAUUGUAAAUUUUUUAGAAUAGUAAUAGUUAUAGUCUUUAAAGCUCAAAGAAUUUGGCGGUAAGACAUCUUUUUAGAGGAAUCUGUAUAUUAAUUGAUAAUCCACAAUAGUUAGUACCUUUUAUUUUAUUUGUAUAUCGCUAUACUUUAGAAUGUUAUUUAAGUAAUUCACUUUCUUUAAUUAAUUUAAUUUUAUAUUAGGUCAAGGUGCAGUUUUUUUAAGGUUUAUAUGGAUUACUUUUGUUAUAAGUUUUACAAUAAUUGAUUUAUUUAUAUUAAUUUUAGUAAGGAUUUAAUAGUAAGUUGAAUUAAUUAAUUUAUCUGAAUAUUGCUAUGUUUUAUGUACAUAUCGCCCGUCACUCCUAAUUAAAUUAGGAUAAGUCGUAACAAAGUAAUUUUACCGGAAGGUGAGGUUGGAAUUAGAAAUU
rnacentral:ncRNA from 1 species